GCCGGGUUAGCUCAGUUGGUUAGAGCACGGUGCUAAUAACACCAAUCUCACAGGUUCACUCCCUGCUUACUGCA
rnacentral:tRNA from 1 species